rnacentral:rRNA from 1 species
CCUAUCAGCUUGUUGGUGAGGUAACGGCUCACCAAGGCUAAGACGGGUAGCUGGUCUGAGAGGAUGAUCAGCCACACUGGAACUGAGACACGGUCCAGACACUACGGGUGGCAGCAGUUUCGAAUCAUUCACAAUGGGNNAAACCCUGAUGGUGCAACGCCGCGUGAGGGAUGAAGGCUUCGGGUUGUAAACCUCUGUCACCAAGGAGCAACAAGCCGGUUCAUAGCCGGCCCUGAGUUAACUUGGA